rnacentral:rRNA from 1 species
AGCGAACGCUGGCGGCAGGCCUAACACAUGCAAGUCGAACGAAGUCUUCGGACUUAGUGGCGGACGGGUGAGUAACACGUGGGAACGUACCUUUUGGUUCGGAACAACUCAGGGAAACUUGAGCUAAUACCGGAUGAGCCCUUAGGGGGAAAGAUUUAUCGCCGAAAGAGCGGCCCGCGUUAGAUUAGCUAGUUGGUGAGGUAAAGGCUCACCAAGGCUACGAUCUAUAGCUGGUCUGAGAGGAUGAUCAGCCACACUGGGACUGAGACACGGCCCAGACCCCUACGGGAGGCAGCAGUGGGGAAUCUUGCGCAAUGGGCGAAAGCCUGUCGCAGCCAUGCCGCGUGAAUGAUGAAGGUCUUAGGAUUGUAAAAUUCUUUUACCAGGGACGAUAAUGACGGUACCUGGAGAAAAAGCCCCGGCUAACUUCGUGCAAGCAGCAGCCGCAGUAA